rnacentral:lncRNA from 1 species
AUGGACAUGCCCUUCUGUAGCCAACCCCUUAUAAUGACCACAGAUGAGGGCCUGAGGCUCUUAGGCUCAUCCAAGCCUGUGAAGCAUUUGCUGACUUUUUUCCAUCUGCAACUUUUGCUCUUUUUCUUCCUUUUGAUGGAGGAUGACUGUGGCUGGGUUCUCCUUAUUCCUCAUGGUGGAGAGGAGCUUCCUUCACCUAAACAGCUGGGCUGUAAAUCACCAGGGAUGCUGAGAUGUGGCAGUGGUUUGACACUGGGAAACAAGAAGCAUCAGGUAAAGAAUAUUCUUAUCCCGCAGAAAAAACGACCUAGGAGAUGUAAUGGUAGAAUCAUAGAAACAAAGAGGAACAAAAAGUGAAGGUCCUCAGCAGAAGUCCAAUGACCGCUUGCCUCUGGGAUGUUUCUAGUUCGGAGCGGUGCUGAUACCUAGGGGUUACUCCUUGAAGCUUGCUCGAAGUCUUUUCCUGGGGCUGGACCUAAAAGCAGGAUCUUAACAGAGGGCUGUGUUGAGUUUGUAGAGUUCAGCACAUGCACCGAGCAUUGCAUGUGGCUGCGGGAGUAUACCAGGUCCUGAAUCUGUGCUACCCCAGGUAGCCCAGCACCAGAAGAGAGAUGUGCUGUGCAGUACAGGGGGACUGCUCAGCCUGCUCGUAGCUCCCUCAGGAACUUUUGAUUCCUCCCCUCCCCACUUAGCAUCUGUCUGCCUGGAUCUCUGUCACAGCGGCUGAGCCCAUGGAGAUGUAUAAAUGGGAAGGUGGGAGGGAGAGGGGUGAAAAGGAAAAUCAUUUAUCUUAAUCUCUUCUCAUCACGCUUACAGGUGAGGGCUUUGCUCUGGGGCCAGGUUCAGGUGUCAGACAUUCCUAGCGAAUGUGAAACUUUAAUAAGUCAACGUAAGCAAGUGUGAGGUAUUUGCAGGGCUACUUUCCUUCUAGAAAAGUGAAAUUUUCAUAAUUGACAGUUAAUGUAAAUUAUCUGAUAUUUUUCUCUGCAGAAUGACACACGUGGAGUUUUCAAUCAGUCAGGCCAGGAAACUUCCACUUUCCCCUCUGGCCAUGUCACAGCAGCUGAAUAAUUUGGUUUGUCUUUUGUAACAAUUCUUUCCUAGUUUAUUCUUCCUUCUCCUCUUAAUGCCCAAGUACCGAAGGCAAGUUUUAGCCCUUCUUGUAAUGAAAAUAGUUGGGAAUGGAAUUUAAAGAAGAAAAAUUCCAAGCUUUUCUGAAGAAAGCCAACUCAUUGAAGCAAGGGAAUUUGCCCUUAGAAAGAAAGAUCCUUUGAGAGCCAGGUAACUCCAGCUUCAUACAUUUCACUUAGACAUGAAAGUUUGAGCCCAUACAGGAUAUAAUGGUUGGAGAGUUGUAAAUGCUUCUGCAAUUUCCAUUCAUCUGUCACCAAAAAUUAACCGGAGAAUUGCUCUUUUCUGCUUCUAUUCACCUCAAGUCCAAAUGCUUGGGAAGGAAGAGACUAAAUCUUCUUAUGGAAAGAGAUUACAGUCCUGCCACUGGAAUUUUGAGCUCCAGCUUUACCCUGGAACAGAGCUGCAGCAUACCAAGGCAGAACGUGCAGCUCCACGAGGCAGCCGCUGCUUUGCGUUACGAAGAGUCUGGUAAUCAUUAGUGUACACGACAGAGCUUCAGGACCCGAGUCCUGCUUGCAAGUCCUUCCCCACCCCCUCUUGCUGUAAGGAAUUCAUUCUACGCAGCUUCUUGUGUUACAGAUGGAAGUGUAUUUCCUUGUAUUCCCCUGGCUUCGUGGGGGGGAUCAGCCACCCCAUCCAGAGAUGCUGCGGCCCUUUGGAGCUCAGCCGAGCUUCCCAAGGGAGGAGGACAUGGCCGGGUGUCCUGCAGUCGGUGUGCCAGGCUGAGAGAACGGCCUCCAAGUCCUGCUGAUGGCCAUUGCUUUGAAUAAUGGUGAUGUGAACUUUAUCUGCUGCAGAAUGUCUGGAGUUAGUGUCCUGUGACAUCCCUAGCUAAUAUAAAGGGAAGGGGAAAAUCUCUUCUUUCCACUAUUGUGAUCCUCUUCUGAGCAAGAAAGCACCAGACUUGGUUCUCUGGCCCUGGAAACAACGCAGAAAGUUUCCUUUUGCCCCUUCUCCCCUAAACACUGGCUGAGCUUAAAGAUCUCAUUCAGUGUGACUUGCCUUGCCACCACAGCCACAUCAAGUAUAUUUUCUUUCCAUCACCCUUUUUGCGAUGCUUUGUUUCCACCAGCUCUUCUCUGCUUUCGGAGCAGAGAAAUAUUAACGUCCCCUGCAAUGCAUAAAAAGUCUGAACUUCAGCAGAAAAUCAACCACUCUUCUCUACAGUGCUACCACCAUUGCUCUAAAGGAGUUUCCAUUUCCUGAUGUUCUCAAAUUGCACUGAGUAGCUCGAGUAAUACAGAGUAGGUUCAAAUCUGUUUUUAUCUCCUAGUUACAAUACUGUGCUAUAAAGGAUGUCACAGGUAAAGUGUAACAAAAUCUCGAGGAAAAAAUCUGCAAAUUUCAAGGUUUAAGAGUACGUUAACGGCGUAGCAGCUGGAGAAAUGCCUUUUUUUUUAUCCGUGCUUAUUAGGGACAGCAUACAGCAUGAGUGCUUCAUAAUAAAGGCACUGAACAUCUGGCA